rnacentral:sRNA from 1 species
UUGUUGGAAUCCUCCUUUGAGGAUGGCUUUAUCUCCAGGCAGGGGCCAGGAAGUUGAUUGUGUCGAUGGGAGCAUCCUCUUAGACUGAGCCCAAGGCCAGCUCAGGCUUUCCCCAAAGUCCACACUGGGGAAUCCAAGACAGUUCACGAGUUACCAACCUUGUUUGUCAGGUGUUAUUUUGCUGUCUGCAGAUGAAGAGAUUGAACUCCUCCGUAGCUCUGAUCCAUUUAGAUAUGUCUCUGUUUUUGCAGCUGUCCUAGCCAGGUGUACAUGAGCUCUACCGUUCAUGCCCCCGUAACUCAUCAAGAAGCUGUUCGGUCUUCUCCAUUUCAAAACUUCGAAAGAGAACAUGGAAAUAGAUUAAUGAGUUUUCCCAGGAUCACAUGGAGCCAAGAUGUCCACCAAGAAGAGCAGUGCACCUGAGGCAGGGAAGUCUCAUGCAGAGAGCUGGAGUGGGGGGCAUUCUGCAGGCAGAGUUGGCAAGAUAGAGAACCAGAGAGAAUCGGAAGGAUAGAAGGCAUAAAGCAGGAAGAUUCCAUGGAAGAAUGAAUCAAAGGAGCAUUCAGAAUGGAAACAGGAACUUCAGCUGAAGUCAGAAGAUGAAAGAAGACUGCUGUGGUCUGGGCCAAGGAAAAAUGUUUGGAACUGAAACUGGGGAUGCCACAUCCUAGGUCAUUUCAACACACAGACAUGAGUGGUUUGAAAGAUAGGUGUGUUGAUGAUACCAGGGCUGUGAUGGGUUACUAAGGAAAUAGUGCUUUCAACUUAAAAUCUUAAGUUUUGAAAGAUGAUAUAUAUGCCUUUCUAUAAGAUGUAGCUUGUAGACACCAAACCCUGGACUAGAAGGAACAAGGCUCUGUAAAAGUAUGGGAAUUAUGCUGAUAUAAAAAUCUAGAUUCCUAGGGCCAUAGAAAUGGUUCAAAAAUUAAGAGCAUGACCUGCUCUUGCAGAGGACCCAGG